AUUGAACGCUGGCGGCAGGCCUAACACAUGCAAGUCGAGCGGAUGAAGGGAGCUUGCUCCUGGAUUCAGCGGCGGACGGGUGAGUAAUGCCUAGGAAUCUGCCUGGUAGUGGGGGAUAACGUCCGGAAACGGGCGCUAAUACCGCAUACGUCCUGAGGGAGAAAGUGGGGGAUCUUCGGACCUCACGCUCUCAGAUGAGCCUAGGUCGGAUUAGCUAGUUGGUGGGGUAAAGGCCUACCAAGGCGACGAUCCGUAACUGGUCUGAGAGGAUGAUCAGUCACACUGGAACUGAGACACGGUCCAGACUCCUACGGGAGGCAGCAGUGGGGAAUAUUGGACAAUGGGCGAAAGCCUGAUCCAGCCAUGCCGCGUGUGUGAAGAAGGUCUUCGGAUUGGAAAGCACUUUAAGUUGGGAGGAAGGGCAGUAAGUUAAUACCUUGCUGUUUUGACGUUACCAACAGAAUAAGCACCGGCUAACUUCGUG
rnacentral:rRNA from 1 species